rnacentral:rRNA from 1 species
GACGAACGCUGGCGGCGUGCUUAACACAUGCAAGUCGAGCGGUAAGGCCCUUUCGGGGGUACACGAGCGGCGAACGGGUGAGUAACACGUGGGUGACCUGCCCUCAGCUCUGGGAUAAGCCUGGGAAACUGGGUCUAAUACUGGAUAUGACUCCACGGUGCAUGUCGUGGGGUGGAAAGCCUUGUGAAAACGGCUGAGGAUGGGCCCGCGGCCUAUCAGCUUGUUGGUGGGGGAUGGCCUACCAAGGCGACGACGGGUAGCCGGCCUGAGAGGGCGACCGGCCACACUGGGACUGAGACACGGCCCAGACUCCUACGGGAGGCAGCAGGUGGGGAAUCUUGCGCAAUGGGACGAAAGCCUGACGCAGCGACGCCGCGUGAGGGAUGACGGCCU